GAUGAGCGUUGGCGGCGGGCUUAACACAUGCAAGUCGAACGAAGCUGCCUGGAGGAAGUUUUCGGAUGGAAUUUAGGUAGAUUUAGUGGCGGACGGGUGAGUAACGCGUGGAUAACCUGCCUUAUACAGGGGGAUAACGGAGAGAAAUUUCCGCUAACACCGCAUAAGACCACAGCACCGCAUGGUGCAGGGGUAAAAUAUUUAUAGGUAUAAGAUGGAUCCGCGUCCGAUUAGCUAGUUGGUGAGGUAAAGGCCCACCAAGGCGACGAUCGGUAGCCGGCUUGAGAGGGUGAACGGCCACAUUGGGACUGAGACACGGCCCAAACUCCUACGGGAGGCAGCAGUGGGGAAUAUUGGACAAUGGGGGAAACCCUGAUCCAGCGACGCCGCGUGAGUGAAGAAGGUUUUCGGAUCGUAAAGCUCUGUUGUAAGUCAAGAACGAGUGUGAGAGUGGAAAGUUCACACUGUGACGGUAGCUUACCAGAAAGGGACGGCUAACUACGUGCCAGCAGCCGCGGUAAUACGUAGGUCCCGAGCGUUGUCCGGAUUUAUUGGGCGUAAAGCGAGCGCAGGCGGUUUGAUAAGUCUGAAGUUAAAGGCUGUGGCUCAACCAUAGUUCACUUUGGAAACCGUCAAACUUGAGUGCAGAAGGGGAGAGUGGAAUUCCAUGUGUAGCGGUGAAAUGCGUAGAUAUAUGGAGGAACACCGGUGGCGAAAGCGGCUCUCUGGUCUGUAACUGACGCUGAGGCUCGAAAGCGUGGGGAGCGAACAGG
rnacentral:rRNA from 1 species